rnacentral:rRNA from 1 species
GAUGAACGCUGGCGGCGUGCCUAACACAUGCAAGUCGAGCGAUGAAACCGCCUCCGGGCGGACCUGAAGCGGCGAACGGGUGAGUAACCCGGGACCGACCUGCCCCCCGCCCAGGGACAGCCCCCCGAAAGGGGGCUUAAUACCUGGCACUCCGGCAAGGACGCAUUUCCUUGCCGGGAAAGCCGCCGCGGCGGGGGAUUGGGUCGCUGCCCAUCAGGGAGACGGCGGGGCAGAGGGCCACCGUGCCGACGACGGGUAGCCGGGUUGAGAGACCGACCGGCCACAUUGGGACUGAGUUACGGCCCAGACUCCUACGGGAGGCAGCAGUGGGGAAUUUUGCGCAAUGGGGGCAACCCGGACGCAGCAACGCCGCGUGCGGGACGAAGGCGUCCGCGUCGUAAACCGCUUUCAGCGGGGAACACUUUUCGAGGGUACCCGCAGAAGAAGCCCCGGCUAAAUACGUGCCAGCCGCCGCCGUAA